rnacentral:lncRNA from 1 species
CAGGGCCAGGGGUUGCACCCACAUCCUCACAGAGAUAGCACUGGGUCCAUAGCCCACUGAGCCACAAUGGAAACACCUGCAAUGAUUUUUUUUUAAGGUGAACUAUUUACUAAUGCUCAGACUUUAGUAAGAAUUAAUAGGAGCUCCCGCUGUGGCACAAUGGGAGUGGUAGCAUCUCUGCAGUAUCAGGACUCAGAUUUGAUCCCCAGCCUGGCAUAGUAGGUUAAAGGGUCCAGCAUUGCUGCAGCUGUGGCAUAGGUCACCAGUGUGGCUGGAAUCUGACCCCUGGUCUGGGAAUUCCAUGGGGUGGCCAAAAAAAAAAAAAAAAAAGAAUUAUUGAGGGUGUACCUAGAUUGACUAAGUUGUUUUGUUACCAUUUUCAUUGUAAUCACUUGUUUUAAUAGUAGUCCCAAAGCAUUAUAACAUGAUAAUAGUGCUAAUUAUAAUUGGGAUCCUACAAUUCAUGUAGGUAAUAUUCUAUAUAUAAAUGUAAAAAACAUAAGCAGUGGUAUUUUACCACUACAGGGGGACAGAGAUUUUCAAGACCUUUUGCUCUCUGGAGGCCAGUACCACAACGAAACUUAACAAUUUUGAAAGAAAUAGUCUUGGUGGUUGUCUACUCAAAAUUUUUCUUUAGAUUUCCCUCACAGUAUUUCUAUAACUAUGACCCUCUCCAGGCCUAAAAAACAUUACUUCUGGAGAUUAACUGGAACAAAUUUAUUGUCAUCACCCCUCCAGAAUUUUCCCCUAAAGUCCCUUUUCUGAGAGCUAGUUAAGAGAAAUAACUAUGUAAGAACUGUUUUUUCUUUGGGCCACACCUGCUGCAUGUGGAAGUUCCUGGGCCAAGGAUGGAGCCCACACCACAGCGUGACCUGAGCCACUGCAGUGACAAUGCCAAAUCCUUAACCUAAUGAGCCACCAGGGAUCUCAACUGAGAACUUUUAAAUUACUCCCCCCAAAAGAAACACUUGCACUUAUUCCUGUAGCCUUUGGUAGACUUUGUAGCAUCUUCAGUCUUUAAAAAAAAUAUAUAUUUACCUUUAUUUCAUAUUAUUUGAUACAGAAAAUUAGGCAAUAUCAACAUGACCAAAAAUGCUUGACAGAAUUUCUUAAACUAAUUUUCCAUGAAUUUUCAGAUUUAAUCUUGUAAAGCUUUUUCACUUUCUGGCACAUUACAUGUUCCGUGUUCACCUUGUACCUUCUUGCCCCAGGCAACUGAUUGGCCAACUCUGCAAGGAGCUUACUGUUUUUUACAGAAUAUGAUCUCAUUUUGGUCCUAAUAACCUUGGGAAGUGGAUUAAGCAGGCCUUACCCCCAAUCUCACGGAAGCUGCUAGUUAGUGAAGGAAGCAAAGAGAAGGUUCAGAACAAGUGCUUAAGGCAGAUAAGAAUGAAGAGCCUCUUUCUUUACCCAGAGCAGAAGUUUCGUCAGUACCUACAUGAUACCUCCUAUGGCCUGAGGCAGGUCUAGAGCUUGAAUUUGGAAGUCACCCAGGUCAGCAGUGUCUCCCACUCAGCCGUUUAUGUGAGGUUCCAGAGCUAGGAGUUUCUGUGAGAGGAAGCACACAAGCAAGCAGUAGCACAGGACCAAUAGCUGCUGCCACUCCCGGGAACCUCUUGCUUGAGGCUGGUAGUGGGUUAUGAAAAGUGAUAUAAGACAAACAGGAGAGAUGUAGGGAGGUGAUAACACAUUAGUCAAGAAAAGCUAGAGGAAGUGCCAUUUACGUUCAAAACUGAAAGUGAACAUGAUCUUUUUUUUUUUUUUUUUUGGCUACCCAAAGGCAUACAGAGUUCUCAGGCCAGGGGUCAGAUCUGAUCCCAGUUACCUAGGCUACAGCUGCACAGCUGCAGCAAGGCCAGAUCCUUAACCCACUGUGUUAGGUGGACAAUCCCAUUGCACCACAGUGGGGAACUCUGCAAACACACAACUUUGAGAAAGGCUGGGGAAGAACUCUCAGUGGGUUAAGGAUCUAUUGUUGUUGUGAGCUGUGUUGUAGGCCAGCAGCUGCAGCUCUAAUUUGACCCCUAGCCUGGGAACCUCCAUAUGCCUCAGGUGCAACCCUAAAAAGACCAAAAAAAUAAAA